rnacentral:rRNA from 1 species
CAUGCAGUCGAGCGGUAACAGAAAGUAGCUUGCUACUUUGCUGACGAGCGGCGGACGGGUGAGUAAUGCUUGGGAACAUGCCUUGAGGUGGGGGACAACAGUUGGAAACGACUGCUAAUACCGCAUAAUGUCUACGGACCAAAGGGGGCUUCGGCUCUCGCCUUUAGAUUGGCCCAAGUGGGAUUAGCUAGUUGGUGAGGUAAUGGCUCACCAAGGCGACGAUCCCUAGCUGGUUUGAGAGGAUGAUCAGCCACACUGGGACUGAGACACGGCCCAGACUCCUACGGGAGGCAGCAGUGGGGAAUAUUGCACAAUGGGCGCAAGCCUGAUGCAGCCAUGCCGCGUGUGUGAAGAAGGCCUUCGGGUUGUAAAGCACUUUCAGUCAGGAGGAAAGGUUAACGGUUAAUACCCGUUAGCUGUGACGUUACUGACAGAAGAAGCACCGGCUAACUCCGUGCCAGCAGCCGCGGUAAUACGGAGGGUGCGAGCGUUAAUCGGAAUUACUGGGCGUAAAGCGUACGCAGGCGGUUUGUUAAGCGAGAUGUGAAAGCCCCGGGCUCAACCUGGGAACUGCAUUUCGAACUGGCAAACUAGAGUGUGAUAGAGGGUGGUAGAAUUUCAGGUGUAGCGGUGAAAUGCGUAGAGAUCUGAAGGAAUACCGAUGGCGAAGGCAGCCACCUGGGUCAACACUGACGCUCAUGUACGAAAGCGUGGGGAGCAAACGGGAUUAGAUACCGCGGUAGUCCACGCCGUAAACGAUGUCUACUAGAAGCUCGGAGCCUCGGUUCUGUUUUUCAAAGCUAACGCAUUAAGUAGACCGCCU